rnacentral:rRNA from 1 species
AGUGAACGCUGGCGGUAGGCCUAACACAUGCAAGUCGAACGGCAGCACAGUAAGAGCUUGCUCUUACGGGUGGCGAGUGGCGGACGGGUGAGGAAUACAUCGGAAUCUACUUUUUCGUGGGGGAUAACGUAGGGAAACUUACGCUAAUACCGCAUACGACCUACGGGUGAAAGCAGGGGAUCUUCGGACCUUGCGCGAUUGAAUGAGCCGAUGUCGGAUUAGCUAGUUGGCGGGGUAAAGGCCCACCAAGGCGACGAUCCGUAGCUGGUCUGAGAGGAUGAUCAGCCAGACUGGAACUGAGACACGGUCCAGACUCCUACGGGAGGCAGCAGUGGGGAAUAUUGGACAAAGGGCGCAAGCCUGAUCCAGCCAUACCGCGUGGGUGAAGAAGGCCUUCGGGUUGUAAAGCCCUUUUGUUGGGAAAGAAAAGCAGCAGGUGAAUACCCCGCUGUUCUGACGGUACCCAAAGAAUAAGCACCGGCUAGCUUGGUG